AAAAAAAAAAAAAAAACCAAGCACAACCCUUUCUUUUCUUUUAUAUCCUCAGAAACUGUACGGUCCUUCUAUGGAUGUUGGCGUCUUCUCGAAGAGGAAAAUUCCCAGGAAAAUGGAUCUUCAUCAAACACCUUGCUCUGUCGUCGUUUCUCCUCAAAAAGCUUACAAGAAUAAGCAGAAGAAGAAGAAAGGGGGUGAUCUCGAGGAUCAUGGCACCCAGAACGAAGCGAAUAAACGGUACGCUUUUAUGUCGUUUUGGGAGUUGCCGGAGUACAUGAAGGAUAAUGAGUUUAUAUUGAGUUAUUACCGAGUCAGUUGGCCUCUUAAGGAAGCUCUUUUUAGCAUUUUUCGUUGGCAUAAUGAAACGCUUAAUGUCUGGACACAUCUGAUCGGCUUUUUACUGUUUUUGGGGUUGACCAUUGCGAAUGUAAUGCAAGUUCCUCAGGUAGCGGAUCUUCUCGGCCUGUUUACCAGGUCAAUUCUUACUAUUGCAGAGACAAAUGUUUCCCUUAAUUCAAAGGAAUUCUUUUUGGGAACUACAGAACUCUUAGAUUUGAAGCAGAUAACAUCUCCAAAAAUUGAUAUAACACCGCCAGGAACGGCGGUCAGCCGGUGGCCAUUCUAUGUAUUCUUGGGUGGUUCUAUGUUCUGCCUCCUCUCAAGCAGCAUCUGCCAUCUCUUUUCUUGCCAUUCACGCCAUUUAAACAUUUUCUUGCUACGUAUAGAUUAUGUGGGUAUCACUGCAAUGAUCAUCACCUCAUUUUUCCCUCCAAUCUAUUACAUUUUCCAGUGUGUCUCACAUUGGCAAUACAUAUACCUUGGUGGAAUCACAGCAAUGGGGAUGUUCACCAUCGUAACGCUGCUUUCUCCGAUGCUUUCGACCAGUAAAUUUCGAGCUUUUCGAGCUCUUCUCUUCUCUUCAAUGGGGCUCUUUGGCAUCAUCCCUGCAGUACAUGGUACAAUUGUGAAUUGGACUAAUCCCAAACGCAAUACCAUACUAGUUUAUGAAUCUUUCAUGGCUAUAUUUUACUUGACUGGUACUGGGUUUUACGUUAGCCGGAUUCCGGAGAGGUUGAAGCCUGGAUGGUUUGAUCUAGCAGGACAUAGCCAUCAGAUUUUCCAUGUUUUUGUGGUAUUGGGAGCAUUGGCUCAUUAUGGUGCUACACUUGCAUUCUUGGACUAUCGGGACCGCGUGGGUUGCUAAGAAAAUCAAAUCUAUAUACACCAAGGCCUUUUAUGUAUUGUUAUGGGUUAAAUUUAUCUACAUCUGAUGUAUUCAAGACGCAAAUAUGUGAGUCUCACCUAUUUUAUAUGUGAGUCUCACUAUACAUAUUAUAUCUUAAAUUUAAUAUAGAUCAGAUAGGCAAGAAUUUCCAUGUUGCGAUGUAUAAGGUGAUUUAGAGUUUUCGUUACUUUCAAUUUUUGAUUCAUUGUAAUUGCUGUACUAAGAAAGGAAGGAAUUGUUGGUAUGAUUAAGUUCCUUCGUAACUAAGUACAUCAAUGUUAGAUGUUAAUUAAUGUCCUGUAAUUGUAUUAUCAAAAUUUGAAACACAUGCAUGAAGGAUUUGAA
rnacentral:misc_RNA from 1 species